GCCAUUUCAUUCGGAUAUACGUCACCAUGGGGAAAAUAAGGCAAUCGCUACUUCCGUUUCAUGGCGACUUUAAGAGGCGGCAACUACAAUAGCUUUCCACAGCGCUCAAGCUGUGUUACUCCGGUGUGCGAUACCCUAAAGGAAGCAAAAUCCUCACCUCAGGGACAACCAAAAAUGCAGCAACAUGUACCAGGAGAAACGUAGCCUAUUUGAGGAUAUGCAGAAAUGUAGGCAGAGUGCUGGAAUCAAUCUGAAUAAGUAGCAGCUGUAAACGACAGCGCAAGAGAAAAAAAACUUGUGCAAGCUUCUCUCCCGAGGAUCACGGAUUUCUCCAAUGUAAAUAUCACAAGCUUCCUUGUGCUGAACAUGUGCUAAACAGGAAGUCGCUGCUAACUCCUGUCCUGUCUAAUAAAAGCUGUGCUCUCAUUAUCUUUUCCCAUUUGUUAAAACAGCAGGAGACUCUCAUGGCGACCAAAACUCACAUUUUAAGUGUUUAGGGGAAUCAUUCACUUUAAAUAAAUUGCAAUAACAUAUAUUCUAUACAGAAUUGUUUUUUCUUUUCUAUACAGAAAAGCUUUUUCUUGUCUCUACUGCCUGUACCAAAAUGUAUUUACUGUA